rnacentral:rRNA from 1 species
AACCAGUUAUGCCGCCAGGUGUACUGCUGGGUAGCUACGUGCGGUCAGGAUAAGCGCUGAAAGCAUCUAAGUGCGAAACCUGCCACGAGAUAAGGCUUCCUUACAGGGCCGUGGGAGACUACCACGUCGAUAGGCCGCAGGUGUAUAGAUGGAGACAUCACAGCUGAGCGGUACUAAUAGCCCGAAGCUUUCCGCGC